rnacentral:tRNA from 1 species
CGCGGGGUGGAGCAGCUGGUAGCUCGUCGGGCUCAUAACCCGGAGGUCGCAGGUCCGAAUCCUGUCCCCGCAACCA